CCUACGGGCGGCAGCAGUGAGGAAUAUUGGUCAAUGGCCGGAAGGCUGAACCAGCCAUGCCGCGUGAAGGUCAGUGCCCUAUGGGCGUUAAACUUCUUUUGUGCGGGAGCAAUAAUGGUCACGUGUGGCCAGACGAGAGUACCGUACGAAUAAGCAUCGGCUAACUCCGUGCCAGCAGCCGCGGUAAUACGGGGGAGGCAAGCGUUAUCCGGAUUUAUUGGGUUUAAAGGGUGCGUAGGCUGUGAGGUAAGUCAGCGGUGAAAUGCCGCCGCUCAACGGGGUGAAGUGCCAUUGAUACUGGCUGGCUGGAAUGCGGAUGCCGUGGGAGGAAUGUGUGGUGUAGCGGUGAAAUGCAUAGAUAUCACACAGAACACCGAUUGCGAAUGCAUCUCACGAAUCCGCGAUUGACGCUGAUGCACGAAAGCGUGGGUAUCAAACAGGAUUAGAUACCCGGGUAGUC
rnacentral:rRNA from 1 species